AUUGAACGCUGGCGGCAGGCCUAACACAUGCAAGUCGAGCGGAUGAAGGGAGCUUGCUCCUGGAUUCAGCGGCGGACGGGUGAGUAAUGCCUAGGAAUCUGCCUGGUAGUGGGGGAUAACGUCCGGAAACGGGCGCUAAUACCGCAUACGUCCUGAGGGAGAAAGUGGGGGAUCUUCGGACCUCACGCUAUCAGAUGAGCCUAGGUCGGAUUAGCUAGUUGGUGGGGUAAAGGCCUACCAAGGCGACGAUCCGUAACUGGUCUGAGAGGAUGAUCAGUCACAAUGGAAAUGAGAAAAGGGCCAGAAUCCUAAGGGAAGCAGGAGGUGGGAAUAUUUGAACAUUGGCGAAAGGCUGAACCAGCCAAGCCGCGUGUGUGAAGAAGGUCUUCGGAUUGUAAAGCACUUUAAGUUGGGAGGAAGGGGAGUAAGUUAAUACCUUGCUGUUUUGACGUUACCAACAGAAUAAGCACCGGCUAACUUCGUG
rnacentral:rRNA from 1 species